GGCUUCUAGCCUCUAAAACUGUGGGACAACAUAUUUCUCUUCUUUAAGGUACCCAGUUUGUGGUUCUUUUUAUGGCAGCCCUGGCAAACCAAUACAGUUAGUAAUGGUGAUAUUGUUUUAAAAAGUUAAUAGAGGGUUGGGCACAUGGUUCAGUCCUGUAAUCCCAGCACUUUGGGAGACUGAGGUGGGCAGAUUGCUUGAGUGCAGGAAGUGCUGGAGCUCUCAGAGCCACAUUUCAUGACCCUUGUUUGACAGGAACUUUGCUAACAGAUGCAGGGAGGGACAGCCUUUGGAAUUCCUUGAGGUAAUGUUAUGUUAUACCAAAAAUAUCUACUAGGGUUUUACAGAAAUGCCAAACAUUUUCGUAGAGUCUUUGGAAUUCCUGUAGAAGGGUUUUACAUAGGAGCCAUCAUUUUUAGUGUACAAAUUUUCUUGUGAUUUCAUCAUGG
rnacentral:lncRNA from 1 species